ensembl:lncRNA novel transcript
GGCACCUAUCCACAGCCUGAACCUUGGAGAACACCUCCCUUUCAUAUGACUUCUGCAAAGGGCGUGUUUCAGCUCACAGGGACAAAGAGUCACUGCACCAGAGAACCAGAAAGAGAUGUUUCAGGAAACUGCCGCAACUUUGUAGAGCACAGUUUGAAAGCUACUGCUGAAGAAAUAUGUCACCUUGAAGGCUUUUUAAACACGGGAUUUGCAAGAUAGGGUUUGCAUUUUAGAAACAUUAUUCUGCUUGCUACACUACUGAGUUUGGAUGAGGGAGACUUGAAGGCAAGGGAGCUCUGUUAUGAAAUAACUACACUUUUCUUAUAGAAGAAGACUAUAAUAGACUGUAUCAAAAAUGUCUACGUUCCAUAGCAUUGGUGGAACCAUGCAUUACGUCUGAGGACAAGGACGGGAACCUUCUGUGGCGUGCUGUCAACAGCUUUAAAUAGGCAUUGAGUUUGAAGAUAGAGCACAUGAAGGGCAUGUUACAGCAGAGCUGAAGGGAGAACAGUUGAUGGGGUUUGGUGAUCAACUGAUUUGGAGAGUAAAGCAAUGAGAAGAAUGACAUUCAUGAUUUGGUAUGAAUUAAGGGUUUAUUGGACAGAAGAAAUGAUGGGCAAGAGCGGGCAUGGUGUAGGGGUGGAGUUGGAAACUUCCUUUCAUAUGGUCAACACCUCAGCAACCUCAUUUAGACAUAGGACCUGUGCAUAGUAAUCCCUUUUGUCUUGGAGGUGAGUUGUUGAUUUUAUUUUUAUUUUUAUUUUUUAGCUCCUUGGCACUUCUUUCUAAGGUUAGGGAUCAGAAAGAAACAUAAUUGAGUUCCUGCCAAAUUGAAUAUUCAGAAAGGGCACUGAUAGGGGGAUCAAUUCCUUAUUUCUACCAUGAGACAGGCAAGAUAAAGAAGAGUUGAUAAUUUCUGCACCCAUCUUACUUCCUGCCCACCACAGAGCAGUUCACCCAGUGGCCUGGUUGGAUGUUAGCCAUUGGCAGGGCAAGAAAUCCAACAAUCGACUGUUGAAGAAUUCCAGAGAAUCAGUCUGGAUCUCUUUCACACAGACAAAGUCUUGUUCCAGCUAAUCUUAGGCUCCUAUGCGAGAGGAAAGAUGCUGGGAGGCCAGCACGGUGGCUCACACCCAUAAUCCCAGCACUUUGGGGGGCCAAGGUGGGCAGAUCCCUCGAGCCCAGGAAUUCAAAACCAGCCCGGGCAACAUAGUAAUAACCCCCAUCUCUACAAAAAAUUAAGAAAAAUAAUUAGCCAGAUGUGUUGGUGCAUGCCUUAGUCCUAACUACUCCGCAAGCUGAGCUGAGAGGAUCACUUGAGCCCAGGAGGUCAAGGUUGCAAAGAGCCAUGAUCCUGUGCCUAGGCAACAGAACGAAAAAGAUGUGAGAAAUACUCAAAGUCUUGGUCUUUACCCAGAAGAAUCAGAGCAAGGAAAAGAAAGAUCUCUUUCCCCAGUUUGACAUCCAUCUUCCUAAAUUUGGACAAAGGGAUCCUAAACCACAGCGUCCUACAGUGAGUCAAAAUGCCCAUGCACUGAUUCUCAUCUCACUGGAGUUACAGACACGGCUCACAGGCUUAAGCGUCUUGCUGUAGGUCAUACGGCAGGUUAAUGACAACACUGGGGCAAGAACACAGGUUACGCUCGUCCUGGGGAAGGCUCCCACACCAAGCUACACACUUCUGCAAUGCUGUUCCAGAUGUGAAAAUCCGCUAAGACAAAUAGGUCACAAAAACACCAUGGGAAACGAUGAUGUCUUUUCCUUUUUGUUAUCUUGAUAAAGCUUCAUACAUGUCUGGAUUCUGAUUGAUACACAAAAGCUGCAUUCCCACAUCAAGGGAACUCCGAGUGUUCACCCUCCGUGGUAAGGGGAGACUGGGAGACCCCACAAAAGCAUCCCAAGAGAGGAAGAGUCCCUUUACACACCUGCUGCCCCGUGUGUGGAUGCCCACUGAGCACGGAAGUUGUCAAGGACAAAAGGAGGAACUAGCCCACCAAGCAGGUUUAAAGGGAGUGUCGGACACAAAAAUGACAUGCCCCAUAUUGCAGUCUAGAAGGAACAACACGGUGAAUUGUCUACUGCAGAACACUUCACUCUGUCUCGAUUACUACAUGGUGAAUUGAAGUUCCAGUAGAGAGGGAGUUGAGCUGAUACUGAGGAGAUAAAUACCCAUCACUGUAUACAUCUACUUCUUGGAAUUUGCAAGGGAACCAGUCAACAGAUUUUUCAAGCCUUAUAAGUUUAUCUGCCUGAGAAGUUCACCAGCUACAUAACAUCCUGGACUCUGGAGCCCAAGAGAUGUGUAGUUUCCAUUUUGGAGCCAUUUUCUUUGAUAAAUAAGUAGUGAGGCUGCCAUUCUUGUCAAAGUUGAGGACCACAACCUUACUCAUGAAACUGAAAGAUUGUUUGUUAUGAGGAGUUCUGUUUGAGCCAUACAAGCAAUAUAUCCUUUUUAAAGAAAUGUAUCCGGAAUCUUAGGUGUUCAUUGCUCCAAGCCAUGUGCAGAAUAAAAAGAAAACAAAAAACAAAAAA